AGUCUCAUUUUUUUCCUAUAUCCACAAAAAGAGAAAAAAUCUAUAUAAAUUUGCAAGUCUUGCAUCAAAUGACCGGCCGAAUAGCCGCUUGUGGGUACGUUUCUUGUACACAGUAGUGAAUUGUACGUACAAGUGCUUGCUGCUAUAAAAUUCCAUAUCAAAACAAAAUGGGUGUAAUAGAAAAUGAUUUUGAUAGCACAUCAUCGACCUGUUUCUAUUUAUUGUUUUGCUAUUAUAGACAUUACUUAAAAAAAGACAUAACUGUUCCUUAUUGGAACACAUUUUUUCUAAAGAAUUUAUAAUAAAAAAGAAUUUGAAUUAUAAAGAAAAAAAAUUUUGAAAUUCGAAAUGACGUUCAUAAAAAAUUCCAAAUUGAAGAAGAAUUGAGAAGAAGCUGACCGGGAGCCGUGGACAAAAAAAUCAAAAAAGGGUAUUUUGUAUACAAAUGUCGUGGCAUAAUAAUAAUUUAAUGGGUAUAUGCUAAUGCAUAUAAAAAAUUAAAUGAUGUUAAAACCAAACCUAUUGUGAACAUGGUGAGUUAUCGCAAAAAAAUUCAUAAAGACUGGCCAAAUUUCGUCCUCCAUGGACAAAAUUCACAAGGGCCUUCAGCUGAUGACUUCAAAUGGGCAAAUAUCCUACAAAUCGUCGGAUUUGAACUAGGGACUGUAGCAUCUGCUUGUGCGGAAGACCGUGGCGGUGAAUUUUCAACCGGCAUUUUCAGUAUAUAAAUGGAAAACGAAUUAAAAAAAAAAGUAAUUUAACUAACCCAAGCAAAAAAUCGAAAACUAAUCAAUGUAUACCAUGGGC